rnacentral:rRNA from 1 species
GAGACAGGUGGUGCAUGGUUGUCGUCAGCUCGUGUCGUGAGAUGUUGGGUUAAGUCCCGCAACGAGCGCAACCCUUGUGUUAGUUGCAAACAGGUAAUGCUGUGCACUCUAGACAGACUGCCGUGGACAACACGGAGGAAGGUGGGAUGACGUCAAGUCCUCAUGGCCUUUAUGUCCAGGGCUACACACGUGCUACAAUGGGUGGUACAAAGAGCCGCGAACUCGCGAGAGCAAGCAAAUCUCAAAAAACCAUCCUCAGUUCGGAUUGGAGUCUGCAACUCGACUCCAUGAAGCUGGAAUCGCUAGUAAUCGCGGAUCAGCAUGCCGCGGUGAAUACGUUCCCGGGCCUU